UCAUUUCUAUAUUGGCUUAAUAACGCCCUCCGAAGGCAGAGGCCAGAGGUUCGAAUCCUCUCGGGUGCGCCA
rnacentral:tRNA from 1 species